rnacentral:sRNA from 1 species
UAAUGUCUGAUAAUGUCGCCUAACGGU